CGCUAGUGGUGGUGGAGUCGUUGGUGAAAUACCACUCUGAUUGUUCUGGUUAUCUCACUGUGGACCGUGAUCCGGUUCAAGGACAGUGCCUGAUGGGUAGUUUGACUGGGGCGGUCGCCUCCCAAAUGGUAACGGAGGCGUACAAAGGUUUCCUCUGAACGUGUAGAAAUCGUAUCUAGAGUAUAAAGGCAUAAGGAAGCUUGACUGUGAGACUUACAAGUCGAGCAGGGACGAAAG
rnacentral:rRNA from 1 species